rnacentral:misc_RNA from 1 species
AGCAGAAGUCUCCUGAAUUCAAAGGUACGUAUAUCUCACUAAUAUUCACUUGUUUCAGUGUUUUAUAUAUGUUCACUGAUUGAUAAGCAAAGUAAGUAUUAGCUACUAUAACUUUAGAUGUCUUUUAAUUUGAAGAUUCACUAUCAGUGUAUGUAGACCUGGCCACGGGCCUCUUCUGGUCCGGUUCUGUUCCGGCGCUGCCAUUUUGGCCCGCCUCACGGUUCGGACCAAUUUCAGUUCAAAAAGAUUUUGGAUCGUGAUGAUUUUAGUUCGGUUUUAGUCCAAAAGAUUUAAAUAUAAACUCAAUAUAACUUUUUGUUUAAAAAAAUAUUUUUUUAAUCGGGCUGGUUCCUAUUUGGAACCACCAGUUUUGAGCUAGUGUUGGUUCAGGUUUAAGGAGAAGUGACGGAACCGGCCUUUUAUACCCCAAUUUUUGGUUGGUUCAUGAAUCGGAACCAUUGUUCC